rnacentral:sRNA from 1 species
AUAGGUCGCUGGGAUCGUGACCUGGGCAGUAGCGCCAAAAGCAAUGCUACAUCCCGCUCUACGUUUCUUCUUCCUGCAACCAGCCCAGUACUCUUUCGUGUGAAAGAGACUGUCAUUAAUUUAUGCUCCAAGGAAUAAGAAAAUGUCUCAACGUCAGAGCGGUACCGUUAAGUGGUUUAACGACGAGAAAGGUUUUGGUUUUAUCACUCCAGAGAGCGGUCCGGAUCUGUUCGUCCACUUCCGCGCUAUUCAGGGCAACGGCUUCAAGAGCCUGAAAGAAGGCCAGAAAGUGACCUUCAUCGCUGUGCAAGGCCAGAAAGGCAUGCAAGCUGACGAAGUCAUCGCUGAAGCCUGAUCGCUGAAAGCACAAAAGCCCUUGAUGGCAACAUCAGGGGCUUUUU